GAACUAUGUUUUAAAACUUUGAAAGUUUUAUUAGAGAAUUUUUUCUUGUAGUUUU
rnacentral:tRNA from 1 species